AUUGAACGCUGGCGGCAUGCCUUACACAUGCAAGUCGAACGGUAACGGGCCUUCGGGUGCCGACGAGUGGCGAACGGGUGAGUAAUACAUCGGAACGUGCCCGAUCGUGGGGGAUAACGAGGCGAAAGCUUUGCUAAUACCGCAUACGAUCUACGGAUGAAAGCAGGGGACCGCAAGGCCUUGCGCGGACGGAGCGGCCGAUGGCAGAUUAGGUAGUUGGUGGGAUAAAAGCUUACCAAGCCGACGAUCUGUAGCUGGUCUGAGAGGAUGAUCAGCCACACUGGGACUGAGACACGGCCCAGACUCCUACGGGAGGCAGCAGUGGGGAAUUUUGGACAAUGGGCGCAAGCCUGAUCCAGCCAUGCCGCGUGCAGGAUGAAGGCCUUCGGGUUGUAAACUGCUUUUGUACGGAACGAAAAGCCUUCUUUUAAUACAGGAGGGUCAUGACGGUACCGUAAGAAUAAGCAUCGGCUAACUACGUG
rnacentral:rRNA from 1 species